AUUUGCCAAUGGAUUGGAUUAUCUAUUGAUAAUUCCAAUAAAAAAUAAAUAGACUUGAAUUUGUUAGUAAAAAAAUUAUUAAUGAGGUUCACUGCAACUGACCUAAUCUAUUGGUAAUCUGUUUAUAAUUUCAAUUACUAACGGAUUUUACAGGAUUAUUAAUGGAAAUUUUCUGUUGUUAAACCUUAAAAUUCUUAUAGUAUAUACAAAAAAUAUUUUUUAAAAAAAAGUCAAUUGACCCUAUUUUUUUUGGAGAAAUUGUUACAAUUACAACAAAAGAAUUUAAUCAUUGAUUAUAAUGGAUUAUAGUGCAAUGACUUAUAGAGCAUGUGCUUAGAAGCGGCCUCAUUUUAAUUGUUAGCUAAACUAUCAACUCAUAUUAGUUCAAAUGUUACAAGCAAACACAUUUGCUAUCUGUUAAAGACUAAUUUUCUUGAGCUAAUCUGGCUUAGUCAGAUCAGAUUUUUCACAAGUGUGUGGAGAAUGGGGAUUCUCACAAUUAAGUCUCUUAUGCUCAAAUAUGUUGAGAAUUUUCACAUUUGUGUGCAGGACUAUUUUCUAUCCUACAUGUUGAAGAGAGGGAAAAAGUGUUAUUUAUGAGAAUCGGAUGUGAAGGGAUAGUGAAGUUACCUUCAUCACAUGGCAACGUUCCAGGAUUACUGCAAUUUUGUACCUUAUCCGUGGAUGAGCGGCCGCAAUUUGGACUGUACGCUGGACAAUCGCAAACUGGACUAUACACUGGACAACGGCAAACUGGACUAUAAGAUGGACAACGGGUAUAUGCAGGAUCCUUUCGGAUGUGGAAUCCAUAACCAAGCAGCUGACAGAAAAGAAGAAGAAGCAGGAACAAAACGACCUUAGUGUGUAGCAUCAUAUGAUGCUCAAUCAUUUCUCUUUCCUCUGAUCCUGCUUAGCAAUAUUCGUAUAUAUUUAAACCAGGAAGAUAGAGAAGGAAAGCUGGUCGGGUAAUCAAACCAGAACGUUUGAAGGGGUGAUCAGUGAGGCUGCCUUACUUCAGUGGACUAACAAAAUCGAAGUUAU
rnacentral:misc_RNA from 1 species